CGGGGUGUGGCCUCGUCCGGUCCACGGCGCCGCGUUCGGGACGCGGAGAUCGCAGGUUCAAAUCCUGCCACCCCGACCA
rnacentral:tRNA from 1 species